GACGAACGCUGGCGGCGUGCUUAACACAUGCAAGUCGAACGGAAAGGCCCUGCUUUUGUGGGGUGCUCGAGUGGCGAACGGGUGAGUAACACGUGAGUAACCUGCCCUUGACUUUGGGAUAACUUCAGGAAACUGGGGCUAAUACCGGAUAGGAGCUCCUGCUGCAUGGUGGGGGUUGGAAAGUUUCGGCGGUUGGGGAUGGACUCGCGGCUUAUCAGCUUGUUGGUGGGGUAGUGGCUUACCAAGGCUUUGACGGGUAGCCGGCCUGAGAGGGUGACCGGCCACAUUGGGACUGAGAUACGGCCCAGACUCUUACGGGAGGCAGCAGUGGGGAAUAUUGCACAAUGGGCGGAAACCUGAUGCAGCAACGCCGCGUGCGGGAUGACGGCCUUCGGGUUGUAAACCGCUUUCGCCUGUGACGAAGCGUGAGUGACGGUAAUGGGUAAAGAAGCACCGGCUAACUACGUG
rnacentral:rRNA from 1 species